CAACAGUUCAAAAGGCUGGGCUUUAAGCGGGCUUGGCAGCCCGAACAGAACCCAGAACCAGCCCGAAUUCUUGAUGGUUUAUUAUGACCUUCGUUUCCCAUGAAAUAUUUAUUCUUUUCACUGCAGAUCAGGAUAUUAAAGAGACCCUUUUUUGCGAUAAUGUUCGUCAAGAGUUUAGUAUCAAGGACUGUCCCUUAUGCAAGACGAUUUUCUUGGACAGCUCCAACUGUGCUUAAAACUGGAGAUGUUAUAAGGCAAACAAGAGUAUUUUCAAAUCAAGAUGUUACAGAGUACUCAAAAGUGAGUAAUGACUUAAACCCUCUUCAUUUUGAUGAUGAAUUUGCAAGGAAUGCUGGAUUUGAGGAUCGGAUUGUACAUGGAAUGCUUGUUGCUGCAUUGUUUCCUAGGAUCAUUGCUUCCCACUUCCCUGGAGCUGUAUAUGUUUCUCAAGGCUUGCAUUUUAGAAGUCCUGUGUACAUUGGGGAUGAGAUUGUUGGCGAAGUACAAGCUGUUAGUAUAAGGGAAAACAAGAAGAGAUACAUAGUAAAAUUCUCAACAAAAUGCUUUAAGAAUGGCGAGCUUCUUGUUCUUGAUGGUGAGGCCAUGGCAAUCUUACCAAAUCUAGCUGUGGAGAAGGUUGUGGACUGAAACAAGCUACUGUUAAUACGCGAAUUAUUGCUAGUGACAGCCAUAAGAGGUGUCGUUAAACUGAAGAAACAAGCGAAACUCACCUUACAGCGCCACUAAGUCCGUAGGGAAUCAUCCAAAGUGUUGAAGAUAUAUUGAGACUGGAGAUUAAGUAUUGGUUUUGGAUUUGGAAGAAGACCCGAUAAAAGAACCAUCAUUUCGAAUGACCACAUUUCCAGGCUGUUCAAAGUCAAGGAACUUGUUAAGGCAUUGAAGUAGGGCAUAUGCAAAAAGGCUGGGGAUCAUGAAACGGGCGUAUGUUCCAGCUUCCAUUGAGAUGGCUUUAUCUUGGCCGCAGGCAAUGAGAAUGGGUAGUGUGUUAGCCCAUACCGUAGCAAGUGGUAUGCUAACAAGGAUACCAACAAACAUUCCUCUCUACAUGUGUAUGCCCAUCAUAUAAUACUGCCUUGCUCCAUAGGAUUGCCCACACAGUGUAUCAAGUGCACUUGCCAUUCCUAACUGUUCAUUUCAAGUAAAAGAAAACAGAAAAAGAGUUCAAAGGUUACUCAA